ensembl:lncRNA
GUCUGGCAGCUCCCACGAUGGGCCCAGGAGCUCUGAGGAGUCUCUGGGCUGAUCUGGAGAUGUCCCAGUAGAGUCUGCGAGGGUCCAGGGAGCCCUCGUGUGGGUCUGAGUGGUCAUCCAGAAGGGUCUGGGGAUGGCCCAGAGAGGACUUGGAGGGUCUGGGGGGUCCUUUGGUGGGUUCAGAGGGUCCUGUUGUCUUCUGGAAGGGUCUGAAGAUGUCCCAGAAGUGUCCUGGGUGUCCAAAGGGUGCUCGUGUGGGUCUGGGGGGUCCUGGAGCCAUCCAGAAGGGUCUGGGGAUGGCCCAGAGAGGACUUGGAGGGGUCUGGGGGGUCCUUUGGUGGGUUCAAAGGGUCCUGUUGUCUUCUGGAAGGGUCUGAAGAUAUCCCAGAAGUGUCUUGGGUGUCCAGGGGGUGCUCGUGUGGGUCUGGGGGGUCCUGGAGCCAUCCAGAAGGUCUGCGGAUGUCCCAGGGGGGACUUGGAGGGUCUGGGAGUCCUUUGGUG